rnacentral:rRNA from 1 species
GUGAGGAAUAUUGCGCAAUGGAGGCAACUCUGACGCAGCCAUGCCGCGUGCAGGAAGAAGGCGCUACGCGUUGUAAACUGCUUUUAACCGGGAAGAAACCCCAGGACGUGUCCUGGGUUGACGGUACCGGAGGAAUAAGCACCGGCUAACUUCGUGCCAGCAGCCGCGGUAAUACGAAGGGUGCAAGCGUUAUCCGGCUUCAUUGGGUUUAAAGGGUGCGUAGGCGAAGCGUUAAGUCAGUGGUGAAAUCCUGCAGCUUAACUGUAGACUUGCCAUUGAUACUGGCGCUCUUGAGUGCGCUUGAAGUGGGCGGAAUGUGCCGUGUAGCGGUGAAAUGCUUAGAUAUGGCACAGAACACCAAUUGCGAAGGCAGCUCACUAAGGCGAUACUGACGCUGAGGCACGAAAGCGUGGGGAUCGAACAGGAUUAGAUACCCGAGUAGUCC